rnacentral:rRNA from 1 species
UCCUACGGGAGGCAGCAGUGGGGAAUUUUGGACAAUGGGGGCAACCCUGAUCCAGCAAUGCCGCGUGAGUGAAGAAGGCCUUCGGGUUGUAAAGCUCUUUUGUCAGGGAAGAAACGGUAGUAGCGAAUAACUAUUACUAAUGACGGUACCUAAGAAUAC